rnacentral:lncRNA from 1 species
UUAAAGAAGACGCUUACAACAUUUGGCAUGUGUCAAAAACACAGCUAUUAUAAUUCAUCACUUAAAAUAGUGUGUCAUGACCUUGGGACAAUCAUCUGCAUUCUUUAACUGAAAAAUAAAGCUGUCAGCUCCUUGAGUCCUCCGGCCCUUUCCAAAGAUUCUGUGUGGGAUUCAGAAAAAUGCAACAGAAUCAGCUGCUGAAGCAGAUGAUAGUAAAGGGACAGGUCACUGAGAGGAAGGAGCCAACUGGAUUCUUUAGCUGCCACAGUGUUCCUCAAUCCGUGUUUUCUGUGUUGGAACCCCAUCGUGGCAAAACCCACAAAACCCAUUGCAAAGACAAUACUUAAAAUAAAAACAAUAUAUGUUAUCGUUAUUCCUACA